rnacentral:rRNA from 1 species
AGUGAACGCUGGCGGUAGGCCUAACACAUGCAAGUCGAACGGCAGCACAGUAAGAGCUUGCUCUUACGGGUGGCGAGUGGCGGACGGGUGAGGAAUACAUCGGAAUCUACUUUUUCGUGGGGGAUAACGUAGGGAAACUUACGCUAAUACCGCAUACGUCCUACGGGUGAAAGCAGGGGAUCUUCGGACCUUGCGCGUUUGAUUGAGCCGAGGUCGGAUUAGCUAGUUGGCGGGGUAAAGGCCCACCAAGGCGACGAUCCGUAGCUGGUCUGAGAGGAUGAUCAGCCACACUGGAACUGAGACACGGUCCAGACUCCUACGGGAGGCAGCAGUGGGGAAUAUUGGACAAUGGGCGAAAGCCUGAUCCAGCCAUACCGCGUGGGUGAAGAAGGCCUUCGGGUUGUAAAGCCCUUUUGUUGGGAAAGAAAAGCAGCAGGUUAAUACCCCGCUGUUCUGACGGUACCCAAAGAAUAAGCACCGGCUAACUUCGUG